rnacentral:rRNA from 1 species
GAUGAACGCUGGCGGCGUGCCUAAUACAUGCAAGUCGAGCGAACAGACGAGGAGCUUGCUCCUCUGAUGUUAGCGGCGGACGGGUGAGUAACACGUGGAUAACCUACCUAUAAGACUGGGAUAACUUCGGGAAACCGGAGCUAAUACCGGAUAACAUGUUGAACCGCAUGGUUCAACAGUGAAAGACGGUCUUGCUGUCACGUAUAGAUGGAUCCGCGCCGCAUUAGCUAGUUGGUAAGGUAACGGCUUACCAAGGCAACGAUGCGUAGCCGACCUGAGAGGGUGAUCGGCCACACUGGAACUGAGACACGGUCCAGACUCCUACGGGAGGCAGCAGUAGGGAAUCUUCCGCAAUGGGCGAAAGCCUGACGGAGCAACGCCGCGUGAGUGAAGAAGGUCUUCGGAUCGUAAAGAUGUGUUAUUAGGGAAGAACAAAUGUGUAAGUAACUAUGCACGUCUUGACGGUACCUAAUCAGAAAGCCACGGCUAACUACGUG